UGGUUUCUGUAGCAAAAGCCUAGCAUUGGCUACGGGAUAUGCGAUGGCAGCUUUGCCGUUGCAUAUAUUUGGGAAGUGUGCUACGGCAAUUAAAUGGGGUAGCAAGAUUAAGGGUGGACACGACGUCGUAUUCCGAUUGGUAUUUAUACAAGAGGACUCGGUUCAGACCUCUAAAUUUACUGUAGCUCGAUCUCUCUCUCUUUGGAUGCCGACAGCCUUCUGCCUUACCUGUGGCAGGGCUCCGACAUCGUUUUGGUUCCUCUAAAUCUUUAUUUGCUUCGCACUCAGUUGGAUCUCGAGAUACUUCGCAUUGUUUUCUGAUCUAUGGUUUUCAGGGUUUGUGAUUACACUAUUUCGAAACCCAUCUUGAUUACCCGUUUUCCGGCCAAAGGUCGACGAGAUCUCUCUCCUCUCCGUCAACUCCUCCUUCUUCGCUCCGGAUAAUUUUGUAGGAAUAAAGCUACAAUUUUGUGGUAGCGGCAUUUCAUUUUGAUUUAAGAACUGUUGUCUGUGGUUUCUCUGAACGGUCAUUGAAAACAACUCCAGAGGAUUUUGCAUUUGUUGAAUGGAAUUGGAUUUUGAUGCCCAGAUUCAGAACUCAAAUGUGGACAAAAUUGAUCACCCUGUGAGUAUAGCUAUUUACUUCUUGUUGCCAACUAGGAAUGUUUCAAGCCUUCAUCGCAUACUGUAUGCAGAAACAUGGCAUUUCUACCUGGGAGAACCUCUUACGGUUAUUGAGGAUAUGUCUCUAUUUUGCUUGUGGGGCUGUUCAAAAGCACAACUCAUGGAUCAGUGAAUGAAGAAGAAGCUGAUAGGAUUGUAUAACUUCCUGGGCAACCCAAGGUCUCCUUCCAACAGUUUUCGGGUGUAACUCUUAAUUUCAACAAGAAACUUAGUAGUUUUUGGUAUUUUGAUGCUUGUAAUUACUAUCAGACGACUUACUUAGAAGAUUACCUUUUCAACUAACCCAACCUUGUUUCUUUUCAGCUUCAAAGGGGGUGGAUUUUGCUUCUCAAGAUAAGGCGAGGCCUAGACUUGCUUCUAAGAAGGCAAACUAAAAACCAAGGAUAUUGAAAAGGCAAGCUUCUAGAUGUCCACAAAUCUCACAGGUAUGUAACAAUAACAUGCUCUAAAAUAUCUUUAUUACUUGCUUCAACAAUAACUAUGUUUGUCUCACUUUCUGCAAUCAAGUUUAUGUUUUUGCUGCUAAGGUUUGGAAUUCUCAGCAGUAUAUAUUAUGGGUUGGCAUCAAGUUUGGUAUUUGAGUCCUGGCAAAGCAUAUUGGUAUUUGACUUUGAUUUUCUUUUCUUCGUUGAUAGGCACUUAGAUUUUAGCUUAGUUUUCAAGUAUUCAUGGUCCACAAUGCAUGUUUGACAUUCACUGGAUUUUAGUUUUGGCAGGUUCAGUUGCUACCUUGCCAGUAUUCAUCAAGUUUUAUCGCUUCACAUACAAUUGAGAAUCAGGACUCUUAUGAUGAUCUAUUUAAAGAGCUGAGCAAGUACAGACAGAUCAUUCUCAGGCUAUAAUUAAAGAGUUGGUGUAUGAAAAGCAAUUGGAUAGGCAAGAAAUGGAUGACUUGAUGAAGCAAGUUUCAGACCAAAGGUCGAAUCAAAGCUGCUGUCCAGUUGGUUAAUGAUGAGCUAGAAGUUGAAAGGAAGUUGAGAAAGCUUUGGCUGAUCUUUGUUUUUUAACAACCUUUGGUUGGUCUUAUAAUUGUGAUUGUUGGUUGGUUAUAAAUGAUGGGUUUCAUAAUAUUUUUCAAUUUAUGAUAUUUGCUGCAGAUUCACACCAUUUUUUUGGUGUGCAAUUCACACCAUUUUUUUUUUAUAAAUAAAAUAUUCUUUU